rnacentral:rRNA from 1 species
UUUAAAGAGUGCGUAAUAGCUCACUAGUCGAGUGACUCUGCGCCGAAAAUGUACCGGGGCUAAAUACACCACCGAAGCUGCGAAUUGAUACCAAUGGUAUCAGUGGUAGGGGAGCGUUCUAAGUGCAGUGAAGUCAGACCGGAAGGACUGGUGGAGCGCUUAGAAGUGAGAAUGCCGGUAUGAGUAGCGAAAGACGGGUGAGAAUCCCGUCCACCGAAUGCCUAAGGUUUCCUGAGGAAGGCUCGUCCGCUCAGGGUUAGUCAGGACCUAAGCCGAGGCCGACAGGCGUAGGCGAUGGACAACAGGUUGAUAUUCCUGUACCACCUCUUUAUCGUUUGAGCAAUGGAGGGACGCAGAAGGAUAGAAGAAGCGUGCGAUUGGUUGUGCACGUCCAAGCAGUUAGGCUGAUAAGUAGGCAAAUCCGCUUAUCGUGAAGGCUGAGCUGUGAUGGGGAAGCUCCUUAUGGAGCGAAGUCUUUGAUUCCCCGCUGCCAAGAAAAGCUUCUAGCGAGAUAAAAGGUGCCUGUACCGCAAACCGACACAGGUAGGCGAGGAGAGAAUCCUAAGGUGUGCGAGAGAACUCUGGUUAAGGAACUCGGCAAAAUGACCCCGUAACUUCGGGAGAAGGGGUGCUUUCUUAACGGAAAGCCGCAGUGAAUAGGCCCAAGCGACUGUUUAGCAAAAACACAGGUCUCUGCGAAGCCGUAAGGCGAAGUAUAGGGGCUGACACCUGCCCGGUGCUGGAAGGUUAAGGAGAGGGGUUAGCGUAAGCGAAGCUCUGAACUGAAGCCCCAGUAAACGGCGGCCGUAACUAUAACGGUCCUAAGGUAGCGAAAUUCCUUGUCGGGUAAGUUCCGACCCGCACGAAAGGUGUAACGAUUUGGGCACUGUCUCAACCAGAGACUCGGUGAAAUUAUAGUACCUGUGAAGAUGCAGGUUACCCGCGACAGGACGGAAAGACCCCGUGGAGCUUUACUGUAGCCUGAUAUUGAAUUUUGGUACAGUUUGUACAGGAUAGGCGGGAGCCAUUGAAACCGGAGCGCUAGCUUCGGUGGAGGCGCUGGUGGGAUACCGCCCUGACUGUAUUGAAAUUCUAACCUACGGGUCUUAUCGACCCGGGAGACAGUGUCAGGUGGGCAGUUUGACUGGGGCGGUCGCCUCCUAAAGUGUAACGGAGGCGCCCAAAGGUUCCCUCAGAAUGGUUGGAAAUCAUUCGUAGAGUGCAAAGGCAUAAGGG